rnacentral:rRNA from 1 species
UACGUAGGGGCCUAGCGUUGUCCGGAAUCAUUGGGCGUAAAGAGCUCGUAGGCGGUUCGGCAAGUCACGUGUGAAAUCUCCACGCUUAACGUGGAGGCGCCACGUGAAACUGCCGUGACUCGAGUCCGGUAGGGGAGUGUGGAAUUCCCGGUGUAGCGGUGAAAUGCGCAGAUAUCAGGAGGAACACCAAUGGCGAAGGCAGCUCGCUGGGACGGUACUGACGCUGAGACGCGAAAGCGUGGGGAGCAAACAGG